rnacentral:rRNA from 1 species
GAUGAACGCUAGCGAUAGGCUUAACACAUGCAAGUCGAGGGGCAGCACAAGGUAGCUUGCUAUCUGGGUGGCGACCGGCGCACGGGUGCGUAACGCGUAUGCAACUUGCCCUAUACAGGAGGAUAACCCGUCGAAAGACGGACUAAUACUGCGUAUGCUCACAACUUGGCAUCAAGUGGUGAGGAAAGAAAUUCGGUAUAGGAUAGGCAUGCGUCCCAUUAGCUUGUUGGUGAGGUAACGGCUCACCAAGGCAACGAUGGGCAGGGGAACUGAGAGGUUUAUCCCCCACACUGGUACUGAGACACGGACCAGACUCCUACGGGAGGCAGCAGUGAGGAAUAGUGGUCAAUGGGCGCGAGCCUGAACCAGCCAAGUCGCGUGAAGGAUGACUGUCUUAUGGAUUGUAAACUUCUUUUAUACGGGAAUAACAAGAGUCACGUGUGACUCCCUGCAUGUACCGUAUGAAUAAGCAUCGGCUAACUCCGUG